AGCCACCUCCCUGAGGAUCCCUCGUUCCCCUGCCGACCCCCGUCCGACGCUGUAACGUCCCCCAGCCUCCCCAAAGACAAGCCGCGUUACAACAGCCAGUACAUAUCAGCUAAAGUAACUCAGAUCAUAGGCCCUUCUACUAUAGUGUGAUUCCAGACUGGAACCCUGCUUGGAGUCUGAUAUCCAGGAAGACACUAUUUCCACGCCAAGGAAGACAGACGAGACAAAUAUGUAUUUAUUUUCUCGCGUUGCCAGCAGCAACUCUCAUCUCACAUGGACACUGAAAAGACCUGGGACUGUUUUAUAAAAAGAAAAAGCCACUUUUGAGCAUAGCUUUUAUAUUGUUUAAAAAAAAGAAGAAAGUUAAUUUAAAUAUAGUUAUAUUUUUCUUUUCUCCAAAAGUACUGGUGUGUGCAGUAGGUUUUUUUCUGUAGUAUAUUGGUUAUUUUGUAAAUAAUUAUUUUAAUAGUUUCCUGUGAAUUUAUGAACGGUUGGUUUCUUCCUCUUGUCUUGUUGACCACUUUUACUACAGACUGCAACUUCUGAUUCACCUGUUGAUUGAUGAUAAACCCUGGGAUGAAAGGCGAGUUCUGAUUCACCUGGUGAUUGAUGUUAUACCCUGGGAUGAAAGGAUAGUUCUGAAUCACCUGUUGAUUGAUGUUAUACCCUGGGAUGAAAGGCUAGUUCUGAUUCACCUGUUGAUUGAUGUUAUACCCUGGGAUGAAAGGCUAGUUCUGAUUCACCUGUUGAUUGAUGAUAUACCCUGGGAUGAAAGGCUAGUUCUAAUUCACCUGUUGAUUGAUGAUAUACCCUGGGAUGAAAGGCUAGUUCUGAUUCACCUGUUGAUAUACCCUGGGAUGAAAGGCUAGUUCUGAUUCACCUGGUGAUUGAUGUUAUACCCUGGGAUGAAAGGCUAGUUCUGAUUCACCUGUUGAUUGAUGUUAUACCCUGGGUGAAAGGCUAGUUCUGAAUCAGGCAGGAUACUAUUCAAAGGCAACAUGUUUAUUUUUUCAAAAGGCAGCAUUCUGGUACGACUCUUUCACAGUGUCUUCACAUAAUAUCUGUUCUGUGGUCAGAUUCCUCCAUCUUGUUUUACUGUGGUGGUGUUGUUGUUGUUGUUGUCACUUCCUUAGUACCUCCUGUAGCUGGUCAGGUCUGACUAAGGGUGUAUCCCAAAUAGCAACCUAUUCAUUAUGUAGGUGAUUACUGUUGACCAGAGACCUAUGGCCAAAAGCUCUGGUCAAAACUAGUGCACUAUAUAGGGAAUAAGGUGGUAUUUGUGAUGCGCACCCUGACUCCAGGUCAGUUUCCUGACAGGUCAGAGCCAGUGGGUCUGUGGAUCUGUCCUCUCAGCUGUGUGACUCGGGGCUGUUGUGCUGUAGAACGGGACGAGGACAACGAUACACACUGAGAGGCUACUUUCACCUACAGAGUUUCAAAUGCUUUAAUGUUUUAAAAAAGAUGGCAUAAAGGAAAAACACCUAAAAUGUACAUUGUCUGUCUGUAAAUAUUUUCACCAGUGGUGCUCUUUGGUUGUAGUAUUGUGUAGGAGGAAGCUGAGGAAGACUGUGGUAACGUUGUACAUAUAGGUAUUAACCAGCAGGGAAGCAGCGGGGAAUCACCCUUCUCAAACAUACAACAUGACUUUCCACUAGUCGAAGCUGGAGCACGAACGUCUCAUCACCUGUCAUCUCUCUUCAUCCUAACAAGUUGAAACGUUUUAAUAAAGAUGGAUUGCUUUGUAUCCAGAAGGAGGCUGUUGGUUUUCACUGGGAUCCUGAGGAGGGUGAAGGUCAGUGUACAUGUCUUACUGAGGUGUGGGGAACACUGGGUCUGUAGUCUGUGUUGAGGUGUGGGGAACACUGGGUCUGUAGUCUGUGUUGAGGUGUGGGGAACACUGGGUCUGUAGUCUGUCUUACUGUGUUGAGGUGUGGGGAACACUGGGUCUGUAGUCUGUCAUACUGUGUUGAGGUGUGGGGAACACUGGGUCUGUAGUCUGUGUUGAGGUGUGGGGAACACUGGGUCUGUAGUCUGUGUUGAGGUGUGGGGAACACUGGGUCUGUAGUCUGUCUUACUGUGUUGAGGUGUGGGGAACACUGGGUCUGUAGUCUGUCUUACUGUGUUGAGGUGUGGGGAACACUGGGUCUGUAGUCUGUGUUGAGGUGUGGGGAACACUGGG
rnacentral:lncRNA from 1 species